GAAAGACGUUUGUUUCCAGGGGUGAAAGCGACAGAAUCGGGACGUGCGUGCUGCCAUCAUUAUCAUCGUUCAAAGAUCCCUGACCGCUGGGCCCGAGACUCGGCAGAGACUGGCUUAUUCACUGUCGGAGAUAAGAGAGACGAAAAGGAAGCGAGAGGAGAAAGAGCCCGCCAGGCUGGUGCUUAUCACACUAGGAAAAGCCGAACUUUUUUCUGUGGACCCCCGAGUCAGCGAGUUCCGUCCAUGUUGUUGGGGUAGUGGGUGUAGACGGCAAUGCGCCCGCGCACCGGCCGAGCCUGGGAAGCACACGCACUUUCCGGUUACGAUCCAGACUGUUUAUCAUCAAACAAACAUGCUGUUAGGAAAGCUCGUUUUCCCAGAGCCGACCCACUGGGUGCGGCACGCAAUCUGCCCGAUGCUGGGACGUCCUUAGGAGGCAACCAGCGAUUCAUGCGUGGACGCUCGCGGGAACGCCACGCUCGGGGCCGCGGCUCCCCGCGCUCUACAGAAACAGCCUCGAAACAUGCCCAGGGCUCUCGCACAUGAAUACAGUGCGGAACAAAAGCUGGACGCUCGCCACGCCCGUCAUCAACGGCGCUUGUCUCGAUUUGAGCACCAAGCGUCAACGCAAUGGGCUUUUGCUGGAGCCCGUCUCUGGAUGGUAACGGUGCAGGUUUGCCAAACGCUCGACGACGUCGACGCGCUAAUCUCGAUAAAACUGGUCAAGGAUGCUCUGCCGCUGUUUAAAAGCUCUUAAGCACGGCGACAUGCUCGUCAAACGCUCUGAUCGAACCGACUUGCCGCGAAUGAUCGUGGAAAUCGACCGGCACCAGCCAGCGUGCCCGAACGGCGGUCGCUUGACGCCGAAACAACGCAAGCAUGCUUCGCGGGUACGGUGUGUGCAGAGCGCAUGCUCCACGCUGAUACGAGGUCCCAUUCUGGAUCAUUCCAUUUCCGUGUAUGUGUGUGUGUGUAUGUGCCCAGCUCGAAGCGUCCGUCUGGAUUACACCCUCGCAUGCGUAUGCUGCGUAUGCUCAGAUGCGCUCGAAUCAGAGAGCAGUCCUAGGCGCCGUCGUGUCGAUAAGCGCGUUCGAUAGCACUCAAUAUCCCUGCCUUGGUACGGUGGGCGAUCGCCUGCCUCGAGCGAAACAAACGGUCGAGGCGCAGACCCCGUGUACACCUGCGCCGGACGAACCACGUGGGUAUGCUCUCGAACAUCGAGCUGGGCUUCGGCCAGCUGAGCCUCUCUGCUAUGUGCGAGCCAUCCCGCGAUGCGCGGUAUAGCGAACAAAAGCGGGUAAAAGUCGGUCGGGAAACCCAAAGCCCGAUAAAUAACACCACUGUAAAAAUC